CUACUUCGCGCGUGCCUGACAUUAAAUCUCCUAUCAUUUGAAGCUUUCGACAACACGAUCCCCGUCCUUGGACAAAUUAAGCGCCUCAUUGAACGCAAAAUCAGGUUUGGGUAAUUAAGAUACCUUAAUCCGAAUCACAGCAGGACAAAACUGACGCACUCCACCAUCCACGUCUCGUGUGGUGAACUGCCACGUUGCCUAUAUCGCUUUCAUACUGACAGGUUUGGGAGCCGGACUCGCAGAUGAAAUGACAAUGACCUUCAAACUGAAUGAGAUUUAUGGAUGCGCUUUAAAGUUCCUCAGCUUAUCUGUAAUAUGAGCGGAAGAACUUAAAUAAAAUAGGACGCUUUGUCUGCUACAAAGCAGUAGUUCAAUGCGACGAUCUUUUCCCCUUCUCUCAUACUAGACUGCGGAUCCCGUUUCGUUGUGGAAAUUUUUAAGGGACCAGAAUCUUUCAUUUGAGCCCACAUAUUGACAUUUUCAUCCUAUCAACCUUCCGUUGAUCUCAUACGUCAUUGUCAUCUUCUGGUUGGAUGCCAACGACAGCACACAUAGCCCAGCUGCAGCUCAUGAAUUUCGACCUGCGGCCACCGAAGUACGUCAUACGGCUGAUUCGGGACUGUUGGCUCUAGAAUUCUCUAGAUUCGGGACGCUGAUGGCUCGCUUUCUCACGAGGCAACAACUAAAAUGACCAAACUUACAGUUGGACAACUCUCAUCUUGAUGAAAACCCCUGUCUAUUGGCCUCGAGGAAGAAAUAUUCUGGCUGGUUCCCACUCCCUGGUAGAAGUCCGCAAGAAGUUUUGGCAGUAUAGAGGCUAGCUUGCUGCUCUUUCAAAGCGUGGCAAACUGAAGUUGGGAUGUGGAGUUGUGAACAGAUCAAUAAGGGGUUAAGAGAGCAUGGA
rnacentral:sRNA from 1 species